rnacentral:lncRNA from 1 species
CCCCCCCCACUUUGAAAUGAAAUCCUUGUACGCCCUUAUAGUGACAUAUUCAUUAAGCAUGGUGCAUCUAGUGAUUUGUUCCGUGUGAUUAAUGCAAUUUUGGUGUUUUUAGUGUAACCGUUAAAGGGCCCAUUGCCAGGUUCGGGCAUUGUAAACAAACAAGCGUGGCACUGAUCACUCAGUACUGCUUAUGUCUGCAAACUUUGAAGCGCCUUACCACUUGCGGUGAUUAGCCAAACUUGGCACUGGGGCCUCGCCAAGGGCACUUCAAAUACCUGAUGCGCUUCCUCUUCAUUCUGUCAGUUACAUAUCUUUUUCUGAUUGUUUGAAUUGUUGGGCCAGUUGCUUGUUUAAGUUUAUCGAUCACACUUCCACGUAGUGACAUUGUUCUGGUUGACUAUACAGGUAUAGUUUAUCAUUCCUGCAGAUAUGCUGUUCACCCUCUAGUGACGCCACAGAGUACGCUCAUUUGCAAUUAGUAAG